rfam:Paenibacillus sp. MY03 contig18, whole genome shotgun sequence.
AGGUAAUGUCUCCUGAACCUUUAUCACUGGAGGCACUCGACCAUGCUGUGGGAAAUAUGCCUUAGACGUUAAUCGUCGCUGGUGUGGUGUGAGGUGGGGUUAAAUGCCCU